AUUGAACGCUGGCGGCAGGCCUAACACAUGCAAGUCGAGCGGAUGAAGGGAGCUUGCUCCUGGAUUCAGCGGCGGACGGGUGAGUAAUGCCUAGGAAUCUGCCUGGUAGUGGGGGAUAACGUCCGGAAACGGGCGCUAAUACCGCAUACGUCCUGAUGGAGAAAGUGGGGGAUCUUCGGACCUCACGCUAUCAGAUGAGCCUAGGUCGGAUUAGCUAGUUGGUGGGGUAAAGGCCUACCAAGGCGACGAUCCGUAACUGGUCUGAGAGGAUGAUCAGUCACACUGGAACUGAGACACGGUCCAGACUCCUACGGGAGGCAGCAGUGGGGAAUAUUGGACAAUGGGCGAGAGCCUGAUCCAGCCAUGCCGCGUGUGUGAAGAAGGUCUUCGGAUUGUAAAGCACUUUAAGUUGGGAGGAAGGGCAGUAAGUUAAUACCUUGCUGUUUUGACGUUACCAACAGAAUAAGCACCGGCUAACUUCGUG
rnacentral:rRNA from 1 species